rnacentral:rRNA from 1 species
UACAGAGGUCUCAAGCGUUGUUCGGAUUCAUUGGGCGUAAAGAGCUCGUAGGCGGUUUGUCGCGUCUGCUGUGAAAACUCGGGGCUUAACUCCGGGCCUGCAGUGGGUACGGGCAGACUAGAGUGCGGUAGGGGAGACUGGAAUUCCUGGUGUAGCGGUGAAAUGCGCAGAUAUCAGGAGGAACACCGGUGGCGAAGGCGGGUCUCUGGGCAGUAACUGACGCUGAGGCACGAAAGCGUGGGGAUCAAACAGG